AACAUCCCUUCAGUUGAGGGAGAUACACUGAUUUAGUCCUUCUCUGAUGAAGCAACAGCAGCAUCUGUACAGCAAGCUGGAGAAGAAUGAGCUGCACUGAAAUGGCAGAACAUACAGUGAUCAUUGGUGACAGUACCUUGUUCCAGUGGAGCUGUUCUGCCUAUUCUUGAGCCUCUACAUGGCACCAGUGAAGUUUUCAGCCAUGCUGGAUGAAAAUGGAUUCUAUAGGAUUAAAUGCCUUCUCCUGCUGCCUGGAUUUGGACCCUCUGUUUAGGCUGUGUCAGCCACGUUAUUCCACACUCAGUGCCACUGUGAUUGCCAGACUUCCAGCAUGAGUAAGAAAACCUGGUUAAUAGCAAUUGUGUGCACUUUAUUUUUCCCUUUCAGAGGUUAUAUCUGGUUACUGUGUGACUGGAACAAUGAGACUAACCUCAGUUUUACUGUAACAAAGCAGCUAUGAGCUUUCUGGGUAAAGUAUAUUUUGACUGACAUACAAGUAGCUGUAGCUUUGCUGCACAAUGGAGAAAAUGACUUCAUUUAACAGCUUUCUGUGCCAAGAAAGAAAUAAAACAGUUCUGAGAAUGUUGAAGAUUUUUUUCCUGUUUUAAUUUUAAACCUAAAAGAAAAAGCUGUUGCCAUAUAAGUCCAAGUCAAUGGAAUGUAUAAAUCUUUAAAAAGGUUUCAUAAAGUAAUAAUGAUUUUAGUAUAUGUACCAAAUGAGAUUAAAGAGCUACAUUUGGUUCUAAUACAGAGUUUCACAUUCAAAAAGACCAUCAGUUUCCUGUUUAAAAUCUACUUAUAUUGAACUGAAUGGAGUUCAAACAUAAUGCCAUUGUAUUUCAGACAUUUAUCUUAAUUUAAAACAGCUGAAAAGCAUUAAUAACAGAGCAAGGAGAUGCAGAGGUAUAGGCGUUCCUCCCUCCCUUCCCUGCUUUUUAAAAUAAUGAACUCAGAUGGAACAUGGCCCUGCUUCUGCUGUUCUGCCAGUCUGCAGAGCACAAGGAGCAGGGUGCCAGCCCCCUGAAACCACAACAGGAACAUUCCUUUGGAAGGGCUGAAGGCCAUGAGGGAACCUUCCUUCACCAAACAUCCCUUUGCAAACAACAAGGGUGGGUCAAACAAUGAUUUAUUGGAGCAGUUUUUGCCUUGAACAUCUUCAGGAGGCAUUUGCAGAACAGGCACAGCAAACUGGAACUCCCCAGCCUGAACUUUCCCACCUUGAGGCUUUGAUGUCCUCCUUGCCAUUGAAUAUUCUCCCUCUGCCAUGCCUGCCUGUAAGCACAUAACAUGGCAAAUCUUGCCACUGUGCAUUUUGCAUGCCCUUUGUAGGAAUUUCAUCUUAUCUGCUGUAAUUCCACACAGGGUUGCUAAUUCUGUGCCAGUCAGGCUGCUCAGAAUUGUUCAACAUCUUGGAGCUCUGAAUCAUUGUCAAUAAAAAUCAAAGCUG